AUACGUAGGUGGCAAGCGUUGUCCGGAAUUAUUGGGCGUAAAGGGAGCGCAGGCGGGAAGGUAAGUCGGUCUUAAAAGUGCGGGGCUCAACCCCGUGAUGGGAUCGAAACUAUCUUUCUUGAGUGCAGGAGAGGAAAGUGGAAUUCCUAGUGUAGCGGUGAAAUGCGUAGAUAUUAGGAGGAACACCAGUGGCGAAGGCGACUUUCUGGACUGUAACUGACGCUGAGGCUCGAAAGCCAGGGGAGCGAACGGGAUUAGAUACCCCGGUAGUCCUGGCCGUAAACGAUGAAUACUAGGUGUGGGAGGUAUCGACCCCUUCCGUGCCGGAGUUAACGCAAUAAGUAUUCCGCCUGGGGAGUACGGUCGCAAGACUGAA
rnacentral:rRNA from 1 species